UCAAUGCUGGAACCAACAAGGCGGCAUCAAGCGGCACAUCUCUGAACACAAAAAUGCUUGAUGAUGACACUGAGAACCUUACUC
rnacentral:sRNA from 1 species